rnacentral:lncRNA from 1 species
AAGUGAGCCCUUUCAGAAAUCUCACAAAAUCGAAAAACCCUAGUUUAGCAAAGAACGUCAGUUGAGUGAUUUUGGAAAGAGACUGUUGAUUUGGAACACGGUUCGGCCUUUCAUCCCUUCGCAUUUGUCUUUCGUUCUUCGAUUUGUGAACCCUCUUUUCGUUCUUUGCUUUACUUUUCAGCUAACUAUUACAUUGAUUUUUUGUUUCAAUAAUUCAAUAUUUUUCCUGCUUAUUUAUUGUUAAAGUACACAUCUUAGAAAUUGUAAUUGAAACCUCUCAAGAGAGAACCAAACAGAUCCCUCCCCUUUUUUUAACCUAGCAGCCAAAAAAACUUUCAGAUCUUGAUUUCAGUUUGUUGGCUCAUGGUUUUCUGGGAUUCCAAGAGUGUUUCCCCUUUUUUCAACCUAGCAGCCAAAAAAACUUUCAGAUCUUGAUUUCAGUUUGUUGGAUCGUGGUUUUCUGGGAUUCCAAGAGUGUUUAAACUCUCCAAAAUUGCUGGUUGAAUUGUUGAANNN